CAAACAACUCUCGGCAAUGGAUAUCUCAACUCUCGCAUCAAUAAAGAAUGCAGUGAAAUGCGAUACCUGGUGUGAAUUGCAGAAUCUCGUGAACCAUCGAGUCUUUGAACGCAAGUUUGGCCCGAAGCCAUUAGAUAUAGGGCACGUCUGCCUGGGCUUCACAC
rnacentral:rRNA from 1 species